ensembl:snoRNA
AAGCCAGCCAAUUGAUCUGCUUAUUUUAAUGUGUUUCUGUGGAAAUUUAGAAAAAUCAGGUAAUAGUAAUGCCAUUUUAUGAGCCUUAAGAACAGCUGAUGCCAUGGCAGUCCCUCAGAAUGGUUACAAUA